GACGAACCGUGCGAACGUUGUUCGGAAUCAUUGGGCUUAAAGGGCGCGUAGGCGGGCUGCCAAGUCCAGGGUGAAAUCCUCCCGCUCAACGGGAGAACUGCCCAGGAUACUGGCGGUCUCGAGGAAGGUAGGGGCGUGCGGAACUAUGAGUGGAGCGGUGAAAUGCGUUGAUAUUCAUAGGAACUCCGGUGGCGAAGGCGGCACGCUGGACCUUUUCUGACGCUGAGGCGCGAAAGCCAGGGGAGCAAACGGG
rnacentral:rRNA from 1 species